rnacentral:rRNA from 1 species
UACGUAGGGGGCAAGCGUUGUCCGGAAUCAUUGGGCGUAAAGCGCGUGUAGGCGGCUCGGUAAGUCUGCUGUGAAAGUCCAGGGCUCAACCCUGGGAUGCCGGUGGAUACUGUCGAGCUCGAGUCCGGAAGAGGCGAGUGGAAUUCCUGGUGUAGCGGUGAAAUGCGCAGAUAUCAGGAAGAACACCAAUGGCGAAGGCAGCUCUCUGGGACGGUACUGACGCUGAGACGCGAAAGCGUGGGGAGCGAACAGG